GAAAUGGUUCGAAACUUUGAAGUCACGCUCUACUUCUCAAUCUCUGUCUUUCAGAUCCAAAGUUUGAGCUCAAACUUUCUCCUUCUCUAUCUAAAGCCCUAUCGCUCUCAUCCCCUCACUCCUCUCCUCUCCACUUGAAACCUUGUCAUUGAAUCCUCAUCCAACUACCUCUCCUACGCGGACAUCCGACUCCAUUCGACUGCCUCAUCCGACUCCACACCGGAAAGUUCUCAUACUCUCAUCAUUCUCCUCCGACUUGGUGGUUAGCGGGAUACUCCUCUCGUUCGACUACACCCAUCUGACUCCUCUCAGUGCCAGAAACUUGUAAUACGUUGGGUUACCGAUCAAUUGAAAACGAAUCUCAGAUUAAAUGGCUUCUUCUUCUACAAAUAAUAGCAACAUUAGAUUAAAACCAAGAAUGUGAGACUGUGGGAGAACAACUGCAAUAUAUAUUGUACGAACCAAUGAGAAUGGAAAUCAAGGGUGUAUAUUCUUUGUGUUGCCAUUAAAAUAUACUUUUAAAGAACACUGCAAUUACUUCAAGUUCGCAGACGAUGAUGAUGAGGACGUUACCUCCACAAUCCAUUCCAAUACUGGACUUUGUAAAGUUGUAAGGAUAGAGGAAUUCAAUGAUGUAAGGACAAGGCUUUCAGAGAUGGACACUGAAAUUCAUGACCAUGGUAGAAGGCUUCGAAGGAUGGAAAAAAAUUUCAAGGCGAUGAUUUAUGUGAUUGUAUUCUGCGUCAUUUUGUACUUUAUAAUGUAAAUUAGUUAAACAUUUAGGUUUUGGGGAAUUUUAUGGAUGUAAUUAUCAAUGUACUGGACAUGAUGUAAUUAUGGAUGUACUGGACAUGAUGGAUAAAGUAUAUAUGUUAUCUCUUCGAUGUUGUCAUGAA